rnacentral:rRNA from 1 species
CGAGAAAGCCCGCAAGGGUGAGUAAAGCGGCGCACGGGUGCGUAACACGUGGGUAAUCUGCCCUGAAGUCCGGAAUAACUCGCCGAAAGGCGUGCUAAUGCCGGAUGAGACCACGGGAGCCUCGGCUCCUGCGGGAAAAGGUGGCCUCUGUAUACAAGCUAUCGCUUCAGGAUGAGCCCGCGGCCCAUCAGCUCGUUGGCGGGGUAAUGGCCCACCAAGGCUACGACGGGUAGCUGGUCUGAGAGGACGAUCAGCCACACUGGAACUGAGACACGGUCCAGACUCCUACGGGAGGCAGCAGUGGGGAAUCUUGCGCAAUGGGCGAAAGCCUGACGCAGCAACGCCGCGUGUGUGAUGAAGGUCUUCGGAUCGUAAAGCACUGUCGCGAGGGACG